rnacentral:lncRNA from 1 species
AUGGAUUUUCAAAAAGUCUUUACUGGAGGGAGUUCUUGUUGUGGCACAGCGGAAAGGAAUCUGACUAGGAACCAUGAGGAUGCAGGUUCGAUCUCUGGCCUCGCUCAGUGGGUUAAGGAUCUGGCAUUGUCACUGCUGUGGCACAGGUUUGACCCCUGGCCCAGGAACCCUCCCAUGCUGUGGGCGUGGCCAAAAGCAAACAAAAAACCCUAAAAUAACAUAGAUGCAGGAUUUUGCACAUGUCAUAUACAGCUUGAUGAAUUUUUACAAACCGAGCAUAUCCACAUAACCAGCAUCCAGAUGGGAAACAUGACAAGCCUGCCAGAAGCGGCCCUAUGUCCCUUUCCAGUUACUAUUUCCUCACCAAGAAGUCACCAUUCUGGCUUCUAACAGCAAACAUUAGUUUUGCAUGGCUCAUUUUUUCAUACUUGAGAUAGCUACUUCUGUUAUCCUCAUUUUACAUAUAAAACACAAGGAGCCAGAGGGAGGUUCAAUAACAUCCCUAAGAUCAUAUAGCUGGUUGGUAAAAGAGUCUGAAUUUGAAUCUGGAUCCUCUAACUCAGGGGCUAGGGAUGGCGUGCUAAAGUACAAUGAUAAUUCACCCAUUUCAUAAGCAUUUAAAAUCAUUUGUUUCUUCUGAAGUUAUGCCAAUCUCCUAACAGAGUUGCCUGAUCAUAAAAGUUAUUGAGGAGUUCCUGUCGUGGCACAGCGGAAACGAAUCCGACUAGGAACCAUGAGGUUGUGGGUUCGAUCCCUGGCCUUGCUCAGUGGGUUAAGGAUCCCGCGUUGCUGUGGCUCUGGCAUAGGCCGGUGGCUACAGCUCCAAUUCGACCCCUAGCCUGGGAACCUCCAUGUGCCGUGGGAGCAGCCCCAGAAAAGGUAAGAAGACAAAAAAAAAAAAAAAAAAAAAAGAAUGAAAGAAAGAAAAGAAAGAGGUUAACUUCAAGGGCCAGGAAGUCCUCACCUGCCCGACAUUGUUCUGACCGCAAAGACGGCCCCAUCUAGGGAGCUCGGCCUAGAAAUUCUGAGCUGCUUGGGGCCAAAUAGUUGGACCCGGAGAGUUCACUGAACACAGUUAAGGAACAGUAACCCAGAUGAAUAAAGUCCUGAAAAGACACUCCAAUCAAGGAACUUCUCUAUUCUAAAACACCACCUAGGAGAUCCCGCUGUGUAGCACUGGGAACCAUAUCCAGUCACUUAGGAUGGAGCAUGAUAAUGGGAGAAAAAGAAUCCUUAACGUGUGUGUGUAACUGGGUCACCAUGCAGUACAGUAGAAAAUUGACAGAACACUGGAAACCAGCUAUAAUGAAAAAAAAAUCAUUGUAUAAAAAAAUAAAACACUACCUAUAUUAUUAGCUUACUUUUGAAUAGCAUUUCCUACUUCAUAGAAGGCUUCCUUCAGCCCUGUCUCACCUGAGCUUCAUGAAAACCUGUAAUCACAGAAGAUGUGCUUCUUUCUCUCCUCCUCCUCAUCCAUUCAUUCAUUAACAAAUGCUUUUUGAGCAUCUACUCCAGGUUUGUUUUUUUGUUUUGUUUUGUUUUUGCCAUUUCUUGGGCUGCUCCCACAGCAGAUGGAGGUUCCCAAGCUAGGGGUCGAAUCAGAGCUGUAGCUGCUGGCCUACACCAGAGCCACAGCAACACAGGAUCCUUAACUCACUGAGCAAGGCCAGGGAUCGAACCCGAAACCUCAUGGUUCCUAGUCGGAUUUGUUAACCACUGAGCCACAACGGGAACUCCAUUGAGCAUCUACCCUGUACCAAGCUUUGUGAUGGGGCCAAAAGACAAUGCUGAGCUUUAUUGCCAUUUUAUCAAGGAAGACAUUGAGGCUUAGAGGAUAAAUGACUGGCCCAAGAUCACAACAAUACUCUCAAUUAAAUAAUAUGAUGGGACAAUUUACCUGGCGCCUUAAAUGCAGUGUCUCUUAAAUCCUUACAACUCUGUGAAGCAGUUACUGUUAUUCUACCUCCUAGUUUACACAUGAAGUACUUUUGAAGGUUGUCUGUCUGCCUGAGGCAGCUGUGUAGGCAGAAGAGCCAGCACUCAGACCCUCGUUGGUCUGACUCCAGAAGUGAGAGCUUAGGGAGUUCCUGUUGUGGCUCAGCGGAAAUGAAUCCGACUAGUUUUCCGUGAGGAUGCAGGUUCCAUCCCUGGCCUCGCUCAGUGGGUUAAGGAUCUGGCGUUGCCACGGCUAUGAUGUAGGCCAGCAGCUGCAGCUCUGAUUUGAUCCCCAGCCUGGGAACUUCCCUAUGUCGUAGGUGCAGCCCCAGUAAAUAAAUAAAUAAUGAGAGCUUAAGUAUUACUUUAUAGCUUCAACUGCUGAUGACAUCAUUGACUCAUCUGGGACAAUAAUCUCAUGAGGGCUUGGACUCUGAGUGAAUAGAAGCAUAAGAGCUUUAUGGUUCUGUGGGAGUUUGUAAAAUGACUUAGUUGGCUCAGCAUUAGCCCUACUUCUUGGGUUAAACAGGCAUUUCUGUGCAUCUCUUAGAGAAUAGCCUUUUCACCCAAAUGUUAAAUAUAUCUAUUCAAACAGAACUGGAAAUAAAAUUCUUGAAAUGUGAAGUUUUCAAAUACAUGCUACAAUAGCUUGAUGCCUUAAUUUUAACACUGCAUAGAGCUGGACACCCCCGAGAUGGGAGGGAGAUUGGCCGCUGAAGGCUUCACUUCCACUUUUCAGAAACGCUCCCCCUAGUAGCCUGAGAGUUUCUGUACCUCCUUUUCCCCCACUUAGUCCCACCAGGGGGCAGUCUCUUGAGGCGUGUCUGGCUUGUGGGGUGUUUGUUUGUUUGUUUGCUUUUUAGGGCCACACCCAUGGCAUAGGGAAGUUCCCAGGCUAGGGUCAAAUCGGACCUGUAGCUGCCGACUACACCACAGCCACAGCAACGCAGGAUCCGAGCUGCGUCUGGGACCUACACCACAGCUCACGGCAACACUGGAUCCUUAACCCACUGAGCCAGGCCAGGGAUCGAAUCCGCAUCCUCAUGGAUAUGAGUCAGGCUCUUUACCACUGAGUCACAAUGGAAACUCCCAUGGCCUGUGUUUUGAGGAUUCAAAGAGCAGAGAGAGCACCCUCACUUUCUCUGUGGAGCCCCAUUAGCAUCUAGUACCAUGUUGCAGCCUAGAAUGUUGGUCCUGGCAGCCUCCUCAUGAGCCUCCCUGCCUCCAUUCUUGCUCCAUCUGUCCUCCACAUUGUCACCAGGGUGAUCUUCCGAAAAGCAAUCUGAAUGUCACUCACAUCAAAAAUCUUCAGUGAGGAGCUGCUGUUGUGGCUCAGGUUAACAAAUCUGACAAGUAUCCAUGAGGACGCAGGUUCGAUCCCUGGCCUCACUCAGUAGUUUAAGGAUCGGGCAUUGUUGUCAGCUGUGGUGUAGGUUGCAGAUACAGCUCAGAUCCUGUGUUGCUGUGGCUAUGGCGUAGGCCAGCAGCUACAGCUCCAGUUCGAUCCCUAGCCUGGGACCCUCCAUAUGCCAUGGGUGCAGUGCUAAAAAGCAAAAAAAAAAAAAUCUUCAGUGGCAUCCCACUGCUGACAGGACCAAGGUCAGACACUGGCCUAAAACACACCAAGCCCAUUAGAGUCAAGCCUCUGCCUCUCUAGCAUUAUCCUGCCAGUUGCACACAAGCAGAACUGAUAUUCAGACCACGUGCACUGCCAGUGGCCCUGCGAUUGAGCAGAGCCUGCGCUGGUUACUGAAGACUUUGACGAUGGUUGCCAUUCUCUCUAAUUAUGGUCUGGCCUCCUUUUACUGCACUUUGCAAAUCCUGAGUGUUUUUUAACAAAUUGAAAGUUUGUGACAACCCUGCAUAGAGCAAGUCUAUUGAUACCAUUUUUCCAACAGCAUUAUUUUUAUUUAUUUAUUUAUUUGGCUGUGCCCAUGCCAUGUGGAAGUUCCUGAGCCAGGGAGUCAACCCAUGCCCCAGCAGCGACCCCAGCUGCUGCAGUGACAGUGCCAGGUCCUUAACCCACUGCACCACAAGGGAUCUGCAACGACAGUAUUAAUUUAAAAUUAAGGCAUGUAGAUUGGGGGUUAUUUUUGUUUGUUUGGGGGUUU